rnacentral:tRNA from 1 species
GGAGAGGUGCGAGAGCGGCCGAAUCGGCCUCACUGCUAAUGAGGUGACCUUCACGGGUCCGAGGGUUCAAAUCCCUCCCUCUCCG